UGUUAAGGAGGUGUUGUGCUUAUGAGAUACUAUUACCAUAAAUAGCAACAUUGAAUGAAGUAGCUUCAAUUAUAUCUGCAUGCCUAUGAUUUAUGUAGGAUUAGAUUACUUUAUGAACAUUAUGAAGUGCUCUACAAAUGUGUUCAGGUUCAGACGAUACAGUCUUAAAGACAGACAGACAGUGAUUCCUAUAUAUAUCCUAUGCACCAACCCUCUCUUAAACUAAAUUAAAACAAUCCAGCGGAGACUUGGCAAACAAUUUGUGCUUACCUAAAAAAACAAAUUGUUUACUUAGGUUGCAAUUGCUGUCUGUUAGAGACUUCCAUUCAAGAAAAAAAAAUCAUAAACAAUAAGUUACAAGCAAAAAAUGAUAAUUCCAC
rnacentral:lncRNA from 1 species